AUGUAAGUUCUUCCUAUUAUUUUUCAUAGUAUUAUUUUUAAAUAAAAAAAAAUACAUUCACCUCAAGCACAUUUUUUUUAUUAUUUAUAUAUAUUAAAACAUAUAACAUUUACCUAUUUUAAAAAUGUACCCAUUGAACUUAUUUACAUAGGGCUCUUCGAAUAUCUGCAAAGAAAACAUCUAAGAGGGAGCCAUCUUAGCAACUAGUGCAGUGUCCAAGACAAGGAGGGUUCAAAUGUGGCUACUUUGUUAUGAGAUUCAUUAAAGAGAUAAUUUUUUAUCCUACAAUUAUUGCUUCAAAGGUAUUACUUAUUUAAUGAAUUGUACAUAGUUUUAGGCUUCCAAAUGUUAUGCAUUUUAAUGUUAUUUUCUUAUUUGAUUUCAGUUUGGUAAUAAAAAAACAUAUUCUCAAGUAGAAUUCGAUGAAAUUGGAGGAGAAUGGGCUUCUUUUGUGCUACAACUAAUCAUGAAUCAUGUUGAUGCAUCAUGAUCACCAUGCAUGGUAUACACUUUUAGGAGGGUGAAAUGGAGAAUAAAAAGAAAGAAGAAGGCAACAAGAUUUUGGGUUUUUAAAUGCAAC